rnacentral:rRNA from 1 species
UACGUAGGGUGCGAGCGUUGUCCGGAAUUAUUGGGCGUAAAGGGCUCGUAGGCGGUUUGUCGCGUCGGGAGUGAAAACACCGGGCUUAACUCGGUGCUUGCUUCCGAUACGGGCAGACUAGAGGCAUGCAGGGGAGAACGGAAUUCCUGGUGUAGCGGGUGAAAUGCGCAGAUAUCAGGAGGAACACCGGUGGCGAAGGCGGGUCUCUGGGCCGAUACUGACGCUGAGGAGCGAAAGCGUGGGGAGCGAACAGG